rnacentral:rRNA from 1 species
AGCGAACGCUGGCGGCAGGCCUAACACAUGCAAGUCGAACGGAUCCUUCGGGAUUAGUGGCGGACGGGUGAGUAACACGUGGGAACGUGCCCUUUGGUUCGGAACAACUCAGGGAAACUUGAGCUAAUACCGGAUGUGCCCUUCGGGGGAAAGAUUUAUCGCCAUUGGAGCGGCCCGCGUCUGAUUAGCUAGUUGGUGAGGUAAAGGCUCACCAAGGCGACGAUCAGUAGCUGGUCUGAGAGGAUGAUCAUCCACAUUGGGACUGAGACACGGCCCAAACUCCUACGGGAGGCAGCAGUGGGGAAUCUUGCGCAAUGGGCGAAAGCCUGACGCAGCCAUGCGGCGUGAAUGAUGAAGGUCUUGGGAUUGUAAAAUUCUUUCACCGGGGACGAUAAUGACGGUACCCGGAGAAGAAGCCCCGGCUAACUUCGUGCCAGCAGCCGCCGUAAAAC